rnacentral:rRNA from 1 species
UACGUAGGGUGCAAGCGUUGUCCGGAAUUAUUGGGCGUAAAGAGCUCGUAGGCGGUUUGUCGCGUCUGCUGUGAAAACUCGGGGCUUAACCCCGGGCCUGCAGUGGGUACGGGCAGACUAGAGUGCGGUAGGGGAGACUGGAAUUCCUGGUGUAGCGGUGAAAUGCGCAGAUAUCGGGAGGAACACCAGUGGCGAAGGCGGCACUCUGGGCCAGUAUUGACGCUGAGGAGCGAAAGCGUGGGGAUCGAACAGG